UACGGAGGGGGCUAGCGUUGUUCGGAAUUACUGGGCGUAAAGGGCGCGCAGGCGGCUGCUCAAGUCAGGCGUGAAAGGCCUGGGCUCAACCCGGGAAUUGCGCUUGAGACUGGGCUGGCUUGAGUGCGGGAGAGGAUGGUGGAAUUCCCAGUGUAGAGGUGAAAUUCGUAGAUAUUGGGAGGAACACCAGUGGCGAAGGCGGCUCGCUGGACCUGACCUGACGCUGAGGCGCGAAGGCGUGGGGAGCGAACGGG
rnacentral:rRNA from 1 species